UUUGAAAUCUGGCCUUCGGGUCCGAGUUGUAAUUUGCAGAGGAUGCUUUUGGUGCGGUACCUUCCGAGUUCCUUGGAACAGGACGCCUUAGAGGGUGAGAGCCCCGUACGGUUGGAUACCAAGCCUCUGUAAAGCUCCUUCGACGAGUCGAGUAGUUUGGGAAUGCUGCUCUAAAUGGGAGGUAAAUUUCUUCUAAAGCUAAAUACCGGCCAGAGACCGAUAGCGCACAAGUAGAGUGAUCGAAAGAUGAAAAGUACUUUGAAAAGAGGGUUAAAUAGCACGUGAAAUUGUUGAAAGGGAAGCGUUUAUGACCAGACCUUUGCCUGGCGGAUCAUCCGGUGUUCUUCACCGGUGCACUUCGCCUGGCUUAGGCCAGCAUCGAUUUUCGUAGGGGGAUAAAGACCGCGGGAAUGUGGCUCCUCUCGGGGAGCGUUAUAGCCCGCGGUGUAAUACCCUUGCGGGGAUCGAGGAUCGCGCUCUGCAAGGAUGCUGGCAUAAUGGUCAUCAACGACCCGUCUUGAAACACGGACCAAG
rnacentral:rRNA from 1 species